rnacentral:rRNA from 1 species
GACGAACGCUGGCGGCGUGCCUAAUACAUGCAAGUAGAACGCUGAAGGAGGAGCUUGCUUCUCUGGAUGAGUUGCGAACGGGUGAGUAACGCGUAGGUAACCUGCCUGGUAGCGGGGGAUAACUAUUGGAAACGAUAGCUAAUACCGCAUAAGAGUAGAUGUUGCAUGACAUUUGCUUAAAAGGUGCAAUUGCAUCACUACCAGAUGGACCUGCGUUGUAUUAGCUAGUUGGUGGGGUAACGGCUCACCAAGGCGACGAUACAUAGCCGACCUGAGAGGGUGAUCGGCCACACUGGGACUGAGACACGGCCCAGACUCCUACGGGAGGCAGCAGUAGGGAAUCUUCGGGAAUAGACGGAAGUCUGACCGAGCAACGCCGCGGGAGUGAAGAAGGUUUUCGGAUCGUAAAGAUCUGUUGUAAGAGAAGAACGAGUGUGAGAGUGGAAAGUUCACACUGUGACGGUAUCUUACCAGAAAGGGACGGCUAACUACGUG